CCCCGCCGGGCUCAACCGAGCCGCUGUCUUCCCGCUGCCACCACCGGUGGGAAGGGAGGCGGUGGUGGCUGGAGAAGAUGAGGUCUAGAGAUGAAGAUGAGGAUGAGGAGGAGGGAAAGCAGUGGUGGCAAGGUGGCACGCCGACAUCGAAAAUUGGUUUUUGCUCACGGCCUCUUAAGAAGUCCGCUUGUAAACAAUGGAUUUUCGCUGGUAGCUUCUUAAGAGGUUCGCUUAUAAAAAUAUUACUAUUUGCUGGCUUAUUAAGAGGCCGUUCGCUGGAGUGAAUUAACCAUUCUAUGGAGAGGCCACAAAAGCGAUGCAGGCAAGUGGGGAUGUGAUCAUCAGGAAAAAACAUCUGGUGUAUACGGAACUGGUGUAUACGGAACAGGAUGCAAACCCCAGUCCACACGGUUCACGAAUCACGAUCCCGACACCAUUGCUCUAGAGUGGUAUCUACGGAUAAAUCUUGUCUAACUUUUUUUACAAAACUAGAAAGGUGGUAGCCCGCGCAUAUGCGCAGGCAUCUUUUUAUUUGAUGUUGCUUGAAAUUUUAUUUUGGAUGUUUUAUAUGUGGGUUACUUUUUCUUGAAAUUCUUUGACUCUCUUCUAAAUUUGUUUUUGUCAAUAAUUAGUUUGGGGUUGCUUUGAACAUUGUAAGUAUAUUGGUUAUGAUACUCUUUGAUCUACCCUUGCAACA